UCCCUGGUGGUCUAGUGGGUAAGACUCCGCCCUCCCAACACAGGGGGCCCAGGUUCGAUCCCUGGACAGGGAA
rnacentral:tRNA from 1 species